UUUGCUUCUGUUAAAGGGUCGUGUCUGCGUUAGUGCAAAACUGUCAGAAGUGUCGUGGGUCCUAGUCAGCCACAACCUCCGAUGCUCUGCGUGAGCUCAUUCGUGGUGAUGCGUGUGCCCACCGAGCACGGGGCUGGGGAAUCCAGAGGCGGCACAGGCCACACACCAGGCCUUGUGUGAAGCCCUGCCGUCGUUCCUUCAUCUGUUGCUCACAAGAGCCUCUACGGCGCGACGCUGUUACUCCCCCGUUUACCCACAGGUUGAGGGACGCCCAAACCUUGGGACAGGCAGGUGGCAGCGCCUGAAUUCAGUCCGGGGCAGCCGUCUCCAGGGCCUCUGUCCCAGCCACCGGAACACACCUGGCCCUCCGAUGCGAUGAUAGGAAGAUUCCUGGAGGUAGAGACCGGGUCUGGAGAACAGAGCACAGUUUUAAUCACACAGCAGAUUCUUAAACCAAAGGAAGACUUGAGGAUAGAAUUAUUGUGCCGUGACUCUCUCGUGCGUCAUUCAUGAAUCUUAAUACUCUUCACCUCCUCCAUUGCCUCUGGACUGAAUGAAUCAUCACAGGAAAACCAGCAGACGUACCUUUGAAAGGAGAGAAGGACGCAGAGUAGGAGGCCACUGAAAAGUCAGCAUGUGAACCGAGGUCGGUGUCCCGGCCCUUGAGUCUCCCCUCCCCGCCCUCCUCAAGUGCAGUUUUCCUUGGAAUCAGGAAGGUGGAGUUAGAGAAGGGAAGAACUCAGUGCUGGUCUCUCAUUCCAGCCACGUGGGAGAGGACGGGAGAGAAGGGAUUUGUCCUCGCUGCUCAGAGAGGCUGUGAAAGGACGCGGGAGCUGGGGGUGCCCAGAGCCAGGGCUGGGAGGGAC
rnacentral:lncRNA from 1 species